UACGUAGGGGGCAAGCGUUGUCCGGAAUCAUUGGGCGUAAAGAGCGCGUAGGCGGCCCUGUAAGUCCGCUGUGAAAGUCAAGGGCUCAACCCUUGAAUGCCGGUGGAUACUGCAGGGCUAGAGUCCGGAAGAGGCGAGUGGAAUUCCUGGUGUAGCGGUGAAAUGCGCAGAUAUCGGGAGGAACACCAGUGGCGAAGGCGACUUUCUGGCCUGUUCUUGACGCUGAGGCGCGAAAGCUAGGGGAGCAAACGGG
rnacentral:rRNA from 1 species